GUUUGUUGACAUUGCUUUCGGAAAAUUCUGUGUUGAAUAAAGACGAGUUGCUUCAGUUGGCAUUUGCUGCUAUUCAGUUAGUUAAUUCGGUAUUUUGUUCCAUGAACCAAAAUCAAAAGGAACAGAGCAGGCACAUAAUGUCGAGGUGGGUUCAAGUUAACCUUUGUGGAAUUGUCCAGUA